CGUUUGACCUCGGAUCAGGUAGGGAUACCCGCUGAACUUAAGCAUAUCAAUAAGCGGAGGGAAAGAAACCAACAGGGAUUGCCCUAGUAACGGCGAGUGAAGCGGCAACAGCUCAAAUUUGAAAUCUGGCUCUUUUAGAGUCCGAGUUGUAAUUUGCAGAGGGCGCUUUGGCUUUGGCAGCGGUCCAAGUUCCUUGGAACAGGACGUCACAGAGGGUGAGAAUCCCGUACGUGGUCGCUAGCUAUUGCCGUGUAAAGCCCCUUCGACGAGUCGAGUUGUUUGGGAAUGCAGCUCUAAAUGGGAGGUAAAUUUCUUCUAAAGCUAAAUAUUGGCCAGAGACCGAUAGCGCACAAGUAGAGUGAUCGAAAGAUGAAAAGCACUUUGGAAAGAGAGUCAAACAGCACGUGAAAUUGUUGAAGGGGAAGCGCUUGCAGCCAGACCUGCUUGCAGUUGCUCAUCCGGGCUUUUGCCCGGUGCACUCUUCUGCAGGCAGGCCAGCAUCAGUUUGGGCGGUGGGAUAAAGGUCUCUGACACGUUCCUUCCUUCGGGUUGGCCAUAUAGGGGAGACGUCAUACCACCAGCCUGGACUGAGGUCCGCGCAUCUGCUAGGAUGCUGGCGUAAUGGCUGUAAGCGGCCCGUCUUGAAACACGGACCAAGGAGUCUAACAUCUAUGCGAGUGUUUGGGUGUCAAGCCCGAGCGCGUAAUGAAAGUGAACGGAGGUGGGAACCCGCAAGGGUGCACCAUCGACCGAUCCUGAAGUUUACGGAAGGAUUUGAGUAAGAGCAUGGCUGUUGGGACCCGAAAGAUGGUGAACUAUGCUUGAAUAGGGUGAAGCCAGAGGAAACUCUGGUGGAGGCUCGCAGCGGUUCUGACGAGCAAAUCGAUCGUCAAAUUUGGGCAUAGGGGCGAAAGACUAAUCGAA
rnacentral:rRNA from 1 species